CUCAGUUAGACAGCAUUGAACUAGAAGAGAAAAUAGAAUUUGGAAGGUAUUUAUGGAAGAGGAAAGUGGAGAAUGAAGAGUGGGAAACAGCAAGUGGUUAAUAUUAAGACACAUAUGGAAAACUUACACCAUAUGAGACACAUCCAUUGGCACUCUAGACCACCUACAGAAUUACAGAUGGGAGUCUCAUGAUCUUUAUACUUCAUCAAAUAGUUCAUACUCUCUGCCCAGGUCUUAUCUGUGUUUUCUUAGAAGAACAUAAAAAUGUAAUAUGACUCUACCAUCAAAAAAUGUGUCAAUAAAACUUAAACACAGUUUAAAAAAUUAA
rnacentral:lncRNA from 1 species